GGGGGUGACAGGUUUCGACAACGGCUGUCGAAAGGGUAGAAGCGGGUCGAGGAUUCACGGUGAUCUCGUAAACCAUGCGUGGAAAACUAUAGAUGCCGAACAAAAAAAUCGCGCAUCCUUUGCUCUCGCUGCGUAAGUAGCGACAGGUAAGGCGUCCGGCGGGAAUUGUUUCCGCACCGUUCGGGCGACGUUAGGAAACUCACCUUGGUUGCGGGUUACGCGCAACUAAGGAAAAUCAAACAGUAACUAUGGCCGUGUUCUGUGUUGGGUCGAACAAUACACAGAGGCUGAGUGCACACGAACUCGACUGCACCCGGAGAAGUGCCCAAUCUGCACCAUUGGACGCGGGUUCGAUUCCCGCCACCUCCACCA
rnacentral:tmRNA from 1 species